UGAGGAUGCCGUUGGCUGUAAUUGCACAC
rnacentral:piRNA from 1 species